rnacentral:misc_RNA from 1 species
CUUUUCUAACUUAAAAUAAUAUAUGCUUUUCUAACUUUUAAAUAGCAUGGUUUUCUAACUUUUAAAUAAAUAAUUACUUAAAUAUAAAUCUUAGAUGGAAGGACCAUUUUGUCAACAAAACAAACUUUGAGGGAUGUUAUUUCAAAAUUAAUGGUAAAUUAGACAAAGGGACUAUUCUGUUAAUGGAAUGAAAUCUCGUGGACUAAAUGGUUUCUCAUGAGAAAUGCAAGGACUGACAUGUGUUUUUUUGACAUACUUGAUUACUCUUAAUUAUAAACUAAGACCAAAAUCAAAACCAAUUUUAGAAACUAAAACCCAAAACAAAAAGGAGGUUCAGUUGGUUCAAAUGUUUGGUUAAUUAAUACCAU